UACAGAGGGUGCGAGCGUUAAUCGGAAUUACUGGGCGUAAAGCGCGCGUAGGCGGCUUUGCAAGUCGGUUGUGAAAUCCCCAGGCCUAACCUGGGAACUGCACUCGAGACUGCAUGGCUAGAGUAUGGGAGAGGGAAGUGGAAUUUCAGGUGUAGCGGUGAAAUGCGUAGAGAUCAGGAAGAACACCGGUGGCGAAAGCGUUCUGCUAGACCUGUACUGACACUGAGGGACGAAAGCUAGGGGAGCGAAUGGG
rnacentral:rRNA from 1 species